ensembl:lncRNA
AAAACAGCAUAGAUUAUAUACAUUUCAGGUUGGUCCAUGCUGGUCUAUGCCUGUCCAUGCCGGUCUAUGCUGGUCAAGGUGGUCGGAUGCUGGUCAGGCUGGUCGGAUGCUGGUCCAUGCUGGUCGGAUGCUGGUCGGAUGCUGGUCAAGCUAGUCCGAUGCUGGUCGGAUGCUGGUCGGAUGCUGGUCAGAUGCUGGUCGGAUGCUGGUCGGAUGCUGGUCGGAUGCUGGUCAAGCUAGUCCAUGCUGGUCAGAUGCUGGUCAAGCUAGUCCAUGCUGGUCGAAUGCUGGUCAAGCUAGUCCAUGCUGGUCAGAUGCUGGUCAAGCUAGUCCAUGCUGGUCAGAUGCUGGUCAAGCUAGUCCAUGCUGGUCAGAUGCUGGUCAAGCUAGUCCAUGCUGGUCGGAUGCUGGUCAAGCUUGUCCAUGCUGGUCGGAUGCUGGUCAGAUG